rnacentral:rRNA from 1 species
UACGGAGGAUCCAAGCGUUAUCCGGAUUUAUUGGGUUUAAAGGGUGCGUAGGCGGCCAGUUAAGUCAGGGGUGAAAGACGGUAGCUCAACUAUCGCAGUGCCUUUGAUACUGAUUGGCUUGAAUGUACUUGAGGUAGGCGGAAUGUGACAAGUAGCGGUGAAAUGCAUAGAUAUGUCACAGAACACCAAUUGCGAAGGCAGCUUACUACACAGCGAUUGACGCUGAGGCACGAAAGCGUGGGGAUCAAACAGG